rnacentral:rRNA from 1 species
AGGGUUUGAUUAUGGCUCAGGAUGAACGCUAGCGGCAGGCCUAACACAUGCAAGUCGAGGGGUAACAGAGGGUGCUUGCACCUUGCUGACGACCGGCGCACGGGUGCGUAACGCGUAUGCAACCUACCUUCUACAGGGGGAUAGCCCAGAGAAAUUUGGAAUAAUACCCCAUACGAUCUUUACUUGGCAUCGAGUAAAGAAGAAAACUUUUGUGGUAGAAGAUGGGCAUGCGUCCUAUUAGUUAGUUGGUGAGGUAACGGCUCACCAAGACAUCGAUAGGUAGGGGCCCUGAGAGGGGGAUCCCCCACACUGGUACUGAGACACGGACCAGACUCCUACGGGAGGCAGCAGUGAGGAAUAUUGGACAAUGGGGGCAACCCUGAUCCAGCCAUGCCGCGUGCAGGAAGACUGCCCUAUGGGUUGUAAACUGCUUUUAUACAGGAAGAAACUGCGCUACGUGUAGCGUACUGACGGUACUGUAAGAAUAAGGAUCGGCUAACUCCGUGCCAGCCGCCGCGGUAAUAC